rnacentral:rRNA from 1 species
GAUGAACGCUGGCGGCGUGCCUAAUACAUGCAAGUCGAGCGAACAGACGAGGAGCUUGCUCCUCUGACGUUAGCGGCGGACGGGUGAGUAACACGUGGAUAACCUACCUUUAAGACUGGGAUAACUUCGGGAAACCGGAGCUAAUACCGGAUAAUAUAUUGAACCGCAUGGUUCAAUAGUGAAAGACGGUUUUGCUGUCACUUAUAGAUGGAUCCGCGCCGCAUUAGCUAGUUGGUAAGGUAACGGCUUACCAAGGCGACGAUGCGUAGCCGACCUGAGAGGGUGAUCGGCCACACUGGAACUGAGACACGGUCCAGACUCCUACGGGAGGCAGCAGUAGGGAAUCUUCCGCAAUGGGCGAAAGCCUGACGGAGCAACGCCGCGUGAGUGAUGAAGGUCUUCGGAUCGUAAAACUCUGUAAUUAGGGAAGAACAAAUGUGUAAGUAACUAUGCACGUCUUGACGGUACCUAAUCAGAAAGCCACGGCUAACUACGUG